rnacentral:rRNA from 1 species
CUGGCGGCGUGCCUAACACAUGCAAGUCGAGCGAGGAGAUCCUUCGGGAUGAUCCUAGCGGCGGACGGGUGAGUAACACGUGGGCAACCUGCCUCAUAGAGGGGAAUAGCCUUCCGAAAGGGAGAUUAAUACCUCAUAACAUUGCAGUUUCGCAUGGAACAGCAAUUAAAGGAGUAAUCCGCUAUGAGAUGGGCCCGCGGCGCAUUAGCUAGUUGGUGAGGUAACGGCUCACCAAGGCGACGAUGCGUAGCCGACCUGAGAGGGUGAUCGGCCACAUUGGGACUGAGACACGGCCCAGACUCCUACGGGAGGCAGCAGUGGGGAAUAUUGCACAAUGGGGGGAAACCCUGAUGCAAGCAACGCCGCGUGAGUGAUGACGGCCUUCGGGUUGUAAAGCUCUGUCUUCAGGGACGAUAAUGACGGUACCUGAGGGAGGAAGCCACGGCUAACUACGUGCCAGCCGCAGC